UCUACAGCCAUGCCAGCUUGAAUGUGCCCAACCUUGUCUGAUCUCAGAAGCUAAGCAGGGAUGGGUCUGCUUAGUACUUUGUAUGAAGGAUAAGACGUCAGUUUGAAAAAAAGCCCCUAUCAGAG
ensembl:rRNA 5S_rRNA 5S ribosomal RNA